rnacentral:sRNA from 1 species
AUUUACCACGCAUACACUGCGGUUCCUUACACGCCGUUCGCACCCCCCCCCGGCGACUGCUCGCUGCAUUUUGCCAGGC